AUUGAACGCUGGCGGCAUGCUUUACACAUGCAAGUCGAACGGUAACAGGCCUUCGGGUGCUGACGAGUGGCGAACGGGUGAGUAAUGCAUCGGAACGUGCCCAAUCGUGGGGGAUAACGUAGCGAAAGUUACGCUAAUACCGCAUAAGCCCUGAGGGGGAAAGUGGGGGACCGCAAGGCCUCACGCGAAUGGAGCGGCCGAUGUCAGAUUAGCUAGUUGGUGGGGUAAAGGCUCACCAAGGCGACGAUCUGUAGCGGGUCUGAGAGGAUGAUCCGCCACACUGGGACUGAGACACGGUCCAGACUCCUACGGGAGGCAGCAGUGGGGAAUUUUGGACAAUGGGCGCAAGCCUGAUCCAGCCAUGCCGCGUGAGUGAAGAAGGCCUGG
rnacentral:rRNA from 1 species